rnacentral:lncRNA from 1 species
CACUAUCAGACUAGCUUCCCCAUGGCUCAAAUCCCUCUCAUUCCCCACUCCUGCUGGAAUAUCAGCGGCAGGCUUUCAGUCGGGAGCUUCAUGAAGGGAAGCAUGCACCACAUGCCACCCGCUCAACACCUGCAGCAACAACCCACCUGCCGAGCUCAGAGCUUUGCUACAGUCCUGACCUGGGUAAAUUCCACGUUAUUCGGCAUGAGUGCUCUCUCUAGCCGGGGGACGAGGGAGCCCAUCUCUGGCCAGCUCACUGCCAUGCCCUUGACGGUGACAUCAGCGUGACAGCAGCUGGCGGAUUGCAGAUGCAGGACACUUGUGACCUGCUAUUAGAUUGAGAUGGGAAAGGCAUUUCCAUUUUUCUCGGCUGGAUUAUUUGGAAGAGUACAGAUGAAUGAAACCGAGAACAAACCAGGAGAAUAAUGACUCGGCAUGCUAUCUUUAAGUGUGACCCACUUGUCAAACACAUCAGAG